rnacentral:lncRNA from 1 species
UUUACAAUUGUUUAAUGCACGUACUUGCAAGCUAAGCUUCACAUACCACAUACACUCAAUAAGUCAGUUGUUUGAAUUUACCAAACAAUUCGUUACUAAGUUAUCAAAGGUACCAGAUGUAAGAUGUAACUCAAUUACACCAUUGGGAGACAAACGACUUUUUUAUUUGUAUUACACAUUGAGCUUUGGAACACUAACUUUUGGACUGGUACAUGUAAUACUUGUUUUUUUCUACUCUAGUGUUUUUUUAAAAAAUUGGCA